GAGCAGCCAAUCAGGGCCGGGCUGGCCCAUAUAAGAAGAGCUGCAGCACAGAGCAACUUCAGUCACUCUCUGAAGCUUGAGGAGGGAGGUGGACUGGCUGCCUUGCAGGCUGAAGGUGAUAAGCACCCUAGAUAGUUCAGUGCUAUAGGCAGAGAUGCGGGGAGCUAAAUGCAACUCUUGGCAGUCUGUAGGGAUUUGCAGGCUGAGGCCCUGAGGCAAGGGCAAAGAGGGUGCUGGGGCCAUGCGGAAGUGGCCCAGGGAGAUCUACAGAGGCAUUGGAGGAGAAGCAGCAAGUGGCAGCCAUCUACAGUGUCCCUGGGCCAAGACCCAGAGUAGUGGAUGAGCUUGGGUCUCCUCCCCUGACCCGCACUUUGCUGCUAAGGGAACUGGCUGGACUAUUGGACUGCAGUACAUUCCCCCAGAAGAGGGGAGCACAGAGUGAGAGACAGCUGGAGGGCUGCUUCCUGAACAGUCCUUUGAGUGACAUGGGUCCAGAAGAAGGUGCCCUGGCUAGCAGAGCUAAUCUCCAGGACAGCCAGCAGGAGGUGCUGCAGUGUGGAAAAUGUCAUGCAACCUUAACUAUCGGUGAUGCUACCAGUGCCCACCUAUAAUUUCAAUCAGCACUGCCUCCCCAAAAGAAGUUUGUCGUCGCUAGAUCCAAAAGAUAUGGCAGAACAAAGGAGGAAGAUAAUGGCACAAUGUUUAAGAAAUGGGGACUUCAAGACGUACGUUUAAGAUAAGCCUCAACAUAUGCAUGACAUGGACAAAUGUAACAGUCUCUGUUGGAAACCCAUAAACCUUGAUGCCAUUGCACCAGAUCCUUAGGUACUGUAAAUGGAGUUAUGCCAAAUUUAUACCAGCUGAGGAUCUGACCCAUUAUGUCCAAGUCUACAAAUUCUUCCAAGUCCUUCUAGCCACCAUCAUUAAUUUCAACAUUUUGGGGCUAAUGAAAGUCCUUCUAGCCCCUGUAAGAACAGAGAGAGCAAAUUCUACAAACCACACCGAAGCAUUUUGAGGUAAAGGUAAAAUUACAAUGUAUUUAUGUGCCAAGUUACCUUAUUACUUCAAUCCUUUGUUUUGUUAAAUGUUAUAUUUCAAAAUGGCUUAAUAAAA